rnacentral:lncRNA from 1 species
AUGUCGCCGUUCUCACCUGACAGCCCGUACACGGAGACGCCGUUGGGUCUGAAGGUCGACAGCUCACUGAUUCUGAUGUUUCGCCGGGGCCGCGCUUUGUGUGCUGCUGCAGGUUUUCUCUCUCUCCAACCAAAAUUCACUGCAUGGACCAUCGACUACCUUACCAACAGACCACAGUAUGUGAGGCUCCAUGACUGUGUGUCCGAGGUGGUAAUAUGCAGCACGGGAGCACCACAGGGCACGGUUCUCUCACCUUUCCUGUUCAGCCUUUACACUUCAGACUUCCGUUAUAAUUCGGACGAUUGCCAUCUACAGAAGUUCUCAGAUGAUACAGCCAUCAUUGGAUGCGUAUCAGACAGGAAUGAUCAGGAGUACAGGGGGGUCAUCAGUGACUUUGUUGGCUGGUGUGAGACCAACGUACUCCAAAUCAACGCCGGCAAGACAAAGGAGAUGAUCAUAGACUUCAGGAGGAAGUCACCCCCUACAACACCGGUGAGCAUCCAAGGGAAAGACAUUGAGAUAGUGGACUCUUAUAAGUACCUGGGUGUUCACCUCAACAAUAAACUGGACUGGGCUACAAAUACAGACAUCCUGUAUAAGAAGGGCCAGAGUCGACUCCACCUGCUGAGGAGACUGAGGUCCUUCGGAGUCUGCAGGACUCUGUUAAGGACAUUCUAUGACACUGUGGUAGCAUCUGCCCUUUUCUGUGCAGUGGCCUGCUGGGGGAGUGGAUGCACGGACAGGGACAGGAGCAGGAUUGACAAACUGGUGCGGAGGUCUAGCUCCGUGCUGGGAUGUCCCCUGGAGUCUGUGGGGGUGGUUGGCGAGAGGAGGAUGUUAGUAAAGCUGACAUCCAUCAUGAACAGCCCACAUCACCCACUGCAUGAGUAUGUGAGUGGGCUGAGCAGCUCCUUUAGUCAGAGACUGAAACACCCUCGGUGCAGGAAGGAGCGCUUUCGCAGAUCAUUCAUCCCAACAGCAGUUAGACUCCAUAACUCCUCAAUCACAAUGUCAUAA